rnacentral:rRNA from 1 species
GACGAACGCUGGCGGCGUGCUUAACACAUGCAAGUCGAACGGGAGUACUUUGAAAGCUUGCUGAUAAGUACUUUAGUGGCGGACGGGUGAGUAACGCGUGAGGAGCUGUCUUAUGCAGGGGGACAACAGUUGGAAACGGCUGCUAAUACCCCAUAAGCCGAGAGGUAAAAGGAGCAAUCCGGCAGAGGAGGUACUCGCGUCCUAUCAGCUAGUAGGUUGGGUAACGGCCGACCUAGGCGAAGACGGGUAGCCGGCCUGAGAGGGCGAACGGCCACACUGGAACUGAGACACGGUCCAGACUCCUACGGGAGGCAGCAGUGGGGAAUAUUGGGCAAUGGGGGGAACCCGGACCCAGCGACGCCGCGUGGGUGAAGAAAUCCUUCGGGAUGUAAAGCCCUGUUGUAUGGGAAGAGCAGAAGACGGUACCAUACGAGGAAGCCCCGGCAAACUACGUGCCAGCCGCCGCCGUAA